CUCAUUCUCUCUUGUCUGCCGCCAUGUAAGACAUGCCAUUUGCCUUCUGCCAUGAUUGUGAGGCCUCCCCAGCCACGUGGAACUGCCAAGUUCCCACCUGGUGGGAAGCACUGUGCAGGUUCGUGGGGAUGCAGCCCUGCACAGCCCAGACUGGACUCCUUCCCCAUGGAACUCACAACACACGGGAGAGGCAGAGAGAUCCAAGCGCACAGAAAAACACAAGAAGAUUCAGCCCUGUCAUCUUGUGCAAAGUGCACGCGAAGGCCUCAACCAUCUGGAGAACACCUGCUGCAACAGAGUCACACAGGCUAGAGUGCAGUGGCAUGAUCUCAGCUCCCCACAACCUCUGCCUCCGAUGUUCAAGCGAUUCUCCUGUCUCAGCCUCCUGAGUAGCUGGAAUUACAGGGCAUGCUUUCUCGCCUGCCGGCCUUCCACCAUGGGAUGAAGCAGCAAGAAGGCUCUUGCCAGAGGCAGACCCCUCGACCUUGGACUUCCCAGCCCCCAGAACUGUAAGAAAUAAAUCUCUCUUCUUUAUAUAUU
rnacentral:lncRNA from 1 species